rnacentral:ncRNA from 2 species
CGUCAGACGGCCGCCUGACGUGCGACGAUGCCCGACGACAAGGCGACGCGGAACGAGGAAGCCGGUGGAAUUCCGGCGCGGUCCCGCCACUGUGAUCGGCGAGCGAACCCCGAACAGACCACUGCCCGGAGACGGGCGGGAAGGACGGGGCGAGCGGCGCCCCGAGAGCCAGGAGACUCACGUCGUCGCCUCCGUGAGG